UCGACCUGACAUCAAGGGAGACUACCCGCCGAAUUUAAGCAUAUUAAUAAGCGGAGGAAAAGAAAACAACUGUGAUUCCCUUAGUAAUGGCGAAUGAAACGGGAAUAGCCCAUCGCCGAACCGCUGGUCAUCCAGGCCAUGCGGAAUGUGGCGUUUGGAAGGGUCUCUUCCAAGGCUCAGACGCCUGUCAAAGUCCAACUUGACAGUGGCCACAGCCCAUAGAGGGUGAUAGGCCCGUAAGGCGGUUGUCUGGCUUUGCUGACCUCUUCCUAGAGUCGGAUUGCUUGAGAGUGCAGUCCAAAGUGCGAGGUAAACUCCUCGUAAGGCUAAAUAUGACCCCAAGACCGAUAGAAAACAAGUACAGUGAUGGAAAUUUGAAAAGAACUUUGAAGAGAGAGUUAAGAGUACGUGAAACUGUGCGGCAGUAAACGAAGCCUUCCUCGAAGUUUGCCCGGUGGACCCAACCUAGCCAUUGGGCAGCCCCUGCAGUCUGAUCAGCAAUGACGGGCUGUGGGGCGCUUGCCUAGUCGACGGGUGCAUCUCCACCGGGCUUGACGGUAGGAACUGUUGGGACUGGACCUAAGGCCUGGGAUGAAGUUCUCGCUCCGGCGUUAGCUCCCGGUGUCCUGGCUCCGGACCCGACAGGCGUGUGGCCGACUUGUACAGCAAGCAACCCUUCUGUUGCGGUCGGCCGUUCUCUACCGAGUAGGU
rnacentral:rRNA from 1 species